rnacentral:rRNA from 1 species
AGCGCAGGCGGGAAGACAAGUUGGAAGUGAAAACCGUGGGCUCAACCCAUGAAUUGCUUUCAAAACUGUUUUUCUUUGAGUAGUGCAGAGGUAGAUGGAAUUCCCGGUGUAGCGGUGGAAUGCGUAGAUAUCGGGAGGAACACCAGUGACGAAGGCGGUCUACUGGGCACCAACUGACGCUGAGGCUCGAAAGCAUGGGUAGCAAACA